rnacentral:rRNA from 1 species
UACGUAGGGUGCGAGCGUUGUCCGGAAUUAUUGGGCGUAAAGCGUCCGCAGGUGGCUAUGUAAGUCUGCUGUUAAAGAGUGAGGCUCAACCUCAUAAGAGCAGUGGAAACUACAUGGCUAGAGUGCGUUCGGGGCAGAGGGAAUUCCUGGUGUAGCGGUGAAAUGCGUAGAGAUCAGGAAGAACACCAGUGGCGAAGGCGCUCUACUGGGCCGUAACUGACACUGAGGGACGAAAGCUAGGGGAGCGAAAGGG